UUUUGACAUGUGAGAAGCUUUGAGCUCCCUUAUUUCUGCGCCGUAGUGCACUGGUCAGGACCUGGAGGACAUCCUCUUCUAGGAGUUGAGCUGGAUAAGAGAGAGUUCAGCUGCUUGAGUUCAAAGUCAGCUCCUUUGCUGACAAGAGCUAUGGUGAAAAAGCCACACAGCAGGUGUAUCUGGGCCUGGUUUCAUUUGGACCCUGACCCAGACCUUCCAGCUCAGCUCUCUGCUGCUCCCUGUUCCAGUUUUACCAUCUUUGCAUGAGCAGCUGGCCCUUGCUAUUCCCCAACAUGCCUGAAAGUAGGUGGGAUGAAUCUGAUUUCUGUCGUUUGUUGCCCAAAGAGGGGACAUCAUAUGAGUGGAGAUACCUUUGGCACUCUGUCUUUGUACCAGUACCUUGUGUACAGCUCUUUAACAGUAUUGCUUAAUAAAGCCUCAUUGUUAAACAGCGGUGCAAGAGUACCACGGUAAUAGACGCACGGCACAUACAGAGGAAAACUGUAGCAUAAAAUGUUUGUUAGGCAUUUUUCAGAGGGUCUAGAAAGAACAUUCAGAAAAAGUAGGCGUGGAACUUACAUUUCUUAAUUUCUUUCAGCCUUCCUUAAAAAUACCAUGCAGAUUUGAGAGAACCUCAGUUAACUAUUUGCAUUUGAAGAUCUGUGAGAUUUAGAAUACAUUUGUAUCAGUGCCCAGUAUAAACUUUGUGCUGUAGGCGAUUCUUCAGUUCAGUGAUUUGUUCAAGGUCACAUACUAAUUGUUGGCAGAGCUAAAUAAAGAAUCUAGGAGUAUCUGCUCUAACCAAUACAUCAUACUCAUUACCGGUUAUUUUUCUACUGACUGGCUGAUGGCUCUGGGACAUGGUGUCUGGCUGACUGAGUUAUUACUUUCUGGUUUGCAGAAAUUCAUAAACGCUGAAUACUUCAACAAAUAACUACCAAUCUUGAGAAAUGAAUGGCAGCUGAAACUCCUGGGACAGAGCAAUGCUUUGAAACAGACUUGAUGCAGAUUAUCUCUAUGCUAAUGUCUCUGUUAAAUGAGAAGCAGCACCUAUGGAAACAAGAGCAGUUCACAGGCAGUGAGGAAAAAGACUGUCUUUAUGCUUCUUCCUCUGUGUUUCUAAUUAGGAAAUUCACUUUCAGUAGAAACUGUGAUUUACAUACAAGUGCUUGUGGAAACUGACAACUAAAUUACAUUACAUGAAUGCUGUUCAGUUCCAGGCUUUCGUGUCACAGCAUUUUGUCUUUGUAUUUUUUUUCCCACUCCAUUGAAUUCCUCUGUCUGGGAUAUUCUUGUCUUCUUCAACAGUGCCUUGAAAUAGGCAGUAUGCAGAGCAGUUUUGGAAAGUUGAGAGACUACUUCCCCUGAAAUGGGAGAGGUUAAUGAGAACUGCAUAAUAUGCUUUUAGUAGCACAGAAAGGAAAAAAAAAAUCUGCUUUCAUCCUGAAAAUAAGAUUUAUGGACUGAAAAUAAACUUCCCUGUUGGCUAUCA
rnacentral:lncRNA from 1 species